rnacentral:lncRNA from 1 species
AUUUAGGUUCUACAGACUUGAAUCCAAUUUCCAUCUUUGAUACUUUCUACCAGCCCAACACUGUCAUUUCUACUUCCUACUAAACAUCUCAUAUCCUGGUAUUGUUUUACAACCCCAUAGCAGUUUUCAGUUCAAACAAUUUUAUCUCUUAUGAAAUAGUUCAUUGGCUUUGUAAAUUAUCCCCCUGUGUUGGGUUUCUUUUCUAAUUUGGCUUCCCAUUGGUGCCAGAAUUAUGGUUUUAGUUGCCUUCAAAAAUAAGAAAAAGCAAACUUGCAAAACAUGAAUACUUUGUCACAGUGUUUACUUAUUCUUCUUCUCUAGCCUUAUCUUUCAUCCUUGCCACUCUGAUCCAUGCCCCUUAUACCUCACUGUAAAACUGCGAAGCAUAGUGUUUUGUAUAAUACUUCCUACCUCUACCCUGUUUUUGACUGACUAGAACUUUAUUGAUCAUCUUUCAAAGAUCAUCUCUUAUUGGUCUUCUCUAUGAAACUUUUUUGUUCCCUUUAUUCUCUCUCCCCUA